CUCUUUUGGUUGUUACACCUUUAAUUCCUUCUUGGGCAACAGUACUGUGGAUUACUUCGUUACAGACAUCGACCCAGUGCAUCUCAGGGCAUUCACAGUCAGUCCUCAAACACCUCUGUCAGACCACUGUAAAAUUACACUAUAUUUAAGACCAACUCAUAGCAAUGAAUCACACAGACAGCCCUCUGAUUUACUGAAGCUGCACCCACCCUACAAGUGGACAAAUAACAGCACAGAAAAUUAUCAAAAUGCAAUAGAAAGUCAAACGAUCAAAUUAUUAUUGGACAACACAUAUUCACAAAAUAAAUUAGGCAGAAAUCUGGCACUUAGCGACAUUACCAAAAUAUUCCACCAAUCAGCAUCCAUGUGCAAUUUGAAAAAGAAAUCAUCAAAAAGGAAACCAGAAAACACCAAAGAAAUGUGGUUUGACAGUGAGUGCAAAAAUAUCCGAACAACAGUACGAAAUCUUUCAAAUCACAGAGAUCCUGACAAUGAAGAACUCCGCCAUCAAUAUCACAAAGCCCUUAGACUGUACAAACAAACUCUAAGAGUAAAAAAGGAAGAACACACAGAACAAUUAUUUCAAGAAAUGGAGGAGUCAGUAAACACCAGUAACUUCUGGAACAAUUGGAACUCUCUCUAUAGGCCACAACAGGAAGAACUGGCCAUUCAAAACGGGAACAUAUGGAGGACACACUUUGAAAAUCUGUACAAAACAACUGAAACAAAUCCUGCUCGAAAUGAAUUCAAAACCAAAUUAGAAAUCCUGAAAGAAAAAAUGAAAGAGAAUCAGAACCCCCUGGAUUUCCCAAUCACAUUUAAUUUAAUUUAAUUUAAUUUGACCAAUUGUCACACAUUAUACAUACAUUUCUGCAUAUACAUGGUGAAAUUAUUUAUUUUUCACAUAUCCCAGCUAAGCUGGGGUCAGAGUGCAGGGUCAGCCAUGAUACGGCGCCCCUGGAGCAGAUAGGUUCAAGGGCCUUGCUCAAGGGCCCAACAGUGGUGUCUUGGUGGUGUUGGGGCUUGAACCCACGACCUUCUGAUCAGUAACCCAGAGCCUUAAUAUUAAACCAAAUGAUCAAAUACACCAACGACAAAUUCAAAACCGCAAUAACCAAAUUAUUCAACUUUGUUUUGAAAGUAGGAUAUUUCCCCGACACCUGGAACCAAGGCCUAAUUACACCAAUAUUUAAACAAGGAGACAAAUAUGAGCCAAACAAUUCCAGAGGCAUAUGUGUCAAUAACAACCUGGGGAAAAUAUUCUGUUCCAUUAUUAACAUAAGAUUGCAGAACUUUCUCAAAACCCACAAAAUUCUGGACAAAAGUCAAAUUGGAUUUCUGCCCAAACACAGAACAUCGGACCACAUUUACACUCUUCACACGAUCAUUGAUAAACAUACCAAAAUAAAUCCAAAGUCUUCUCUUGCUUUAUUGACUUUGAGAAGGCUUUCGACUCGAUCUGGCACGAAGGAUUCUUCCUAAAUCUACUGGAAAAUGGGAUUGGAGGGAAAACAUUUGAUUUGAUAAGCACCAUGUAUAAAAACAAUACAUGUGCUGUAAAAAUAGGAAAUAAGCGAACAGAAUUUUUCUCCCAACAACGAGGAGUCAGACAAGGUUGCCUAUUGAGCCCCACUCUAUUUAACAUAUAUAAACGAAUUAGCCAAAGCCUUAAAUAAGUCCACUGCCCCCGGCCCAACCCUGACGCAAUCAGAAGUUAAAUGUCUCCUCUUUGCAGAUGAUCUAGUCAUUCUGUCAAAAACAAAAGAGGGACUACAGCAGCUCCUCGAUGUCGUAGAGACAUUCAGUCAAACGUGGGCUCUCAAAAUUAACCUCGCAAAAACUCAAAUAAUGAUUUUUCAAAAUAGAUCCAGGUGUAGGGAAAAUAAAUCCAUCUUUAGAGCAGGAAACCAAGUCCUCCAACACACCCACGAAUACACAUAUCUGGGGCUAAAACUGAGUUCCACAGGGAACUUUAAUCUGGCUGUGAAUGAACUGAAGGCAAAAGCAAUGAGGGUCUUCUACAUGAUCAAAAAUACUAUUCGACAUGAAAUUCCAAUUCAAACCUGGCUAAAAAUCCUACAAGCAAUAAUUGAACCCAUUGCUCUGUAUGGCAGCGAGAUAUGGGGACCUCUAAAAACCCAAGAUUUUUCAAAAUGGAAAAAAGAGGCAAUCGAAACUCUGCACACCCAAAUUUGUAAAAGCAUCCUAAAAGUAAACAGAGCGACACCAAACAACUCUUGCAGAGCUGAAUUAGGACAACACCCCCUAUUGAUCAACAUCCAAAAAAGAGCUGUGAAAUUCUACCAGCACCUGAAGCGCAGUGACCCGAGCUCUUACCAGGCCGAAGCCCUGCGGUGUCAGGAGCAGAACCGGCCCCGGAGCACACUCUCACAGCUGAUGCUCAAACUACAGCCAGACCAGCACAGCACUAUCUGGCCCAACCAAAUUAUACAAUUACAAAAACUAAAUGACAUUACCUAUUGGAAAGAUGCUACUAAAUCACAAAAAAAGAUGGAACUCUAUUUAAACCUGAAAAGAGAUUAUAAACCAGCAGAAUACCUGAGCUGUGUAAAAGAGCAUAAAGUGAGAAAGACCCUGACCAGAUACAGGCUGAGUGCCCACUGUCUGGCUGUAGAGAGAGGACGGCACCGGCAGAGGUGGCAGCCGAGAGAGAGAGACUGUGUGUGUGUUUGUGUGUGUGUGUGUGUGUGUGUGUGUGUGUGUGUGUGUGUGUGUGUGUGUGUGUGUGAGAGAGAGAGAGAGAGAGUGUCUGAGUGCCCACUGUCUGGCUGUAGAGAGAGGACGGCACCGGCAGAGGUGGCAGCCGAGAGAGAGAGACUGUGUGUGUGUGUGUGUGUGUGUGUGUGUGUGUGUGUGUGUGUGUGUGUGUGUGUGUGUGUGUGUGUGUGAGAGAGAGAGAGAGAGAGUGUCUGAGUGCCCACUGUCUGGCUGUAGAGAGAGGACGGCACCGGCAGAGGUGGCAGCCGAGAGAGAGAGACUGUGUGUGUGUGUGUGUGUGUGUGUGUGUGUGUGUGUGUGUGUGUGAGAGAGAGAGACUGUGUGUGUGUGUGAGAGAGAGAGAGAGACUGUGUGUGUGUGUGUGUGUGUGUGUGUGUGUGUGUGUGUGUGUGUGAGAGAGAGACUGUGUGUGUGUGUGAGAGAGUGUCUGAGUGCCCACUGUCUAGCUGUAGAGAGAGGACGACACCGGCA